CUGCACCUUGCUCAAGCUGUUUUCGCUCCGGGACGAUCACACUUUUUCACAGCUCAGAUUGGCAUGUUGGUGAACUUAUUAGCUUAGAUUUCACGUUAUUCAUGCCUACAUGAGCUGCAUACAACUGCUCUAAUCGGUAGGAUGUGGACGGACAUUGCAUUCAUUCCCAUUCAGCCGUUGGACUGAACCUGUACUGUCUGUAACACAGUAUGGAUGGUCAAUAUGAAGCGAGCUUCAUUGAAUUCCUCCAAGAGCUCUGUACUCCGUUCUGACCAUUUUGAAGAUGGUUGCUUUGACAGGACUGGGCAAGUGACUCGUCUUAGACAGGAUGCUGUCCCAACCAUGUUUGAUUUCCUGCCUCGUCUUCAGAAGAAUUCACCCAAGCCAAGGAAUUCCCCGAAAGAAAGACGUUUUGAUUCAGCAAACAACCUCCCAGAUACUGCAAAGUCUUCAGCACCUUCAUUUCUCGAGGACCACUCCUACUCAAUAUCAGAAAGUCCAAGAGAGGUAAAGUGGAAGAUAACAGCAAUAAUGGACUGUAUUAAGAACUUGGAGAAGAGGCUGAAAACCACACACGAGAAGUCCCGCCGUGUACAUUACUUGCUCUUAAGUUUGGACAAACAUAACUUGCAAAACUUUACAACAAAUAAUUACCCCAAUGUGCAUUCUGAUUAUUUAAAAUAGCUCAAUGAAAUAGUUUAUCCGUGGGCAUGUAACAAAAGUGAAUUCAUUAAAUUUGAACGUGUUGCAAAAAUGAUGUCUUACAGUAUAUUCAUUCUGACUUAGAAUGUCAGAAGAGAAAAAAGUUUGUGAAAAGUAGGAAUGACGGCAAGAUGACAGAAGAAUAGAACAGGAUAGAGCAAGGGGGACAGAUAAAGGACAAGUCCACCCCAAAAAUUGUUGAUAUGAAUAAAAAGAGAAAAAUCCAACAAGCAUAACACUGAAAAUUUGAUAAAAAAUCGGAUGUAAAAUAAAAAAGUUAUGACAUUUAAAAAUUUUGCUAAAUUUUACAAAAGAGUUAUAUGCACAUUCUGUACACAGUCAGUAUGCAAAUGAGGAGACUGAUGACGUCAUCCACUCACUAUUUCAUUUGAUAUAUAGAAUAAGGUAUAUUCUAAUUUUCUCCUUGUCAUGUUAAACAAAAUUUUAUUCCUCCCUGAUCAUGUGGAAUUAGCAUUAUUCAAUACUUUUUUGGUUCAGUAAAGUUUGUCCUUAUGGUAAAAUCUGUAAAAAAUGAAAUAUUGUAUAAUUCAAACAAUAAAAAACAAAAUA